GAUACCGCAGUAUAAAAAAAAUCUAAAAUAAUAACCAACAUAUACAAGCUUAGACUGAUGUACGUUAGCUUCCGUACAGCUUUGUCCAACAAACCACCAUGCUGUUUUGGUAUUAUAGGCAUGUACAAUAAAGGGACAGAACAAGCACAAACAAAAAUAUUGCACAUUGAAAAAGGCUUUGUAUACCCUCUGAGACGUGUGUGUUUAUGUUUUGUCCUUCAUUAAAAUUUAGCUCUUAGGUGCACUGCAAUAUUCUGUUUGCAAACAAUAAAUAGACUUCAUCAUUAUGUUAUGAAGUUAUAGACUUCAUCGUUAGGUUAUG